UUUGGUGGGAUCCACCCAUGUAAUCGUUGCAAUCCAUAGAUAAAAAAACCAACCCACGUCCUAUUAGUCAUUAAGAGUUACCGGAAUAUUCCACAUGUGAAAAAAAACAAUAUCUCACAUAGAAACCCUAGCACUGUCAAGAAACAGCCGUCCUCACCAUGCCAUCCUAUAGUAUGAAGAUCUACAGCCUUGAGUAGAUGGCCUCCCAUGCAAGAAUGCAUGCUGUCUCUCCCGUCGUGAGCUAGAGCGGCUAGAUAAUGUUGUCGUCUGAUUUGAAGGCCUGCGAUUGGGACUACAUGCAUGGCAGCGCUGCCGGUGCAAUGGCAGGUACAUGCUUGACUCGAUUUGUUAGGGCAUAGAAGUAUAAGAUCUGAUUUUCAGGCACGAUGUACAUGCUUGGCUUGAUUUGUUGGGACACACACGUAGUAUACACUUCGACGCAGGUCGGUUGAUCGAUUCUACGAAGAGCUCGACCUUUGAUUUUGUUCGGUCGCAAACUAAACACAAGCCAUCAUGCGGGAAGUAUACACUUUGACGCAAGUCGGUUGAUCGAUUCUAUCGGACAGCUCGCCUUUGAUUUUGUCCGGCCGCAAACUAAACAGAAGCCAUCAUGCGGGACGACGUACGAGAUUGUCAGGCUGCGUACCUUCGUUAGCCAGGACCAUGUGCACUGUGGAAUAUCUCCCAUAGAAAUCUUCCACCAUGAGAUGCGAAGUCUGUCGCAGACGUGUUCAUGGUGCACAGCAAUUAGCCGAGAAAAUUCAAGAUACGAUCUAUAUUAUCUCAUGUUCUAUUCCUUUGUUUCGUGUGCAUUGCCAAGUAUAAUUGCUAAUUGCACGUAUACACCAGAUAUCUACAAUAUGAUGGAAAAUAAUUACAAAUAGACUUCCAAAUAGGUAAGACGUGAAUGAUGUGGUCAUGUUAUCAUCUCUCUGUAGUUGUUUUAAUUCUUUCUAGAUGCUUUCUAAGUACUGUUCAUCAUUUAGGAUUAGAACAAAAUUUAUUUGUUUUUUUGGCUGCUUGAUUUCUUCANUACUUUGCUUUUGUGGCAGCUUGAUUUCUUCGUUGUAAGAAAAAGGAAGCAUACACGUUUUUACAUAAAUGGAAUUACAUAAUAAAGUGCUUCAUCACCACGUACCUUAUCUGCUUUUUGUUGUCCGUAUAUUAGUUAUGUGGAAGAUCUUUUGUUCUGAUAGAAUAGAAAAAAGGAUAAGUGACUACGACAUCAAAUUCGGCCAACCAUGUCACAUAUUCAUGUGUUUUGUUUCGGAAACCUCAAGUUUGAUCAGAACUAUCAGCCAUAUUAAUUUGGUGCCUACUCUUUGUUUUAUCACUUAACAACUUAGGUCCAUUAUGAUUCUUUGUUAUUCUUCUUUAAUUUCAGGAAGGAAUUGCGAAGGUUUUUGUGUCACAUCUGCCUCGGAAACGGGGAACAAUACAAUAUGUAAAAUCUCUUAGAUGUGCUCAUGGUGCACUACAAGCAGCCGAGCAAAUUCAAGAUAUGGUCUUUAUUUUAUCAUGUUCUACUCCUUUGUUUCGCCUGCAUUGCCAAAUAUAAUUGCAACUGCAUGUAUACGAUAAAUAUCAUGCAAUAUGAUGCAAAAGAAUUACAAAUAGUCUUCCAAAUGGGAAGAUGUUAAUGAUGUGGUUUUGUUAUCAUGGAUUUGUCGUAGCUACUACUUUUUUUUAAAAGCUUUCCAAGUAGCAUUUAUCAUUUAAGACUAGGGCAAAAUUACUUUGCUUUUGUGGCAGCUUGAUUUCUUCGUUGUAAGAAAAAGGAAGCAUACACGUUUUUACAUAAAUGGAAUUACAUAAUAAAGUGUUUCAUAACCAUGUAGCUUAUCUGUAUUUUUUGUUUGUACAUUGAUUAUGUGGAAGAUCUUUUGUUCGAAUAGAAUAGAAAAAGGUAUAAGUGACUAGAAUAUCAAAUUCGGCCAACCAUGUCACAUAUUCAUGUGUUUGGUUUCGAACACGUAAAGUUUGACCAGAAGCAUCAACCAUUAAUCCGGUCAUUACUCUUUGUUUUAUCAUGGCACAACUUCAGUACAUUUUUAUGCUUGACUCUUCUUCUUUAAUAUCAUGGAGGAAUUGCGGUUUCGUGUCAACUCCGCCUUGGAAACGGGGAAGUAUAUUAUAUGUAAAAUCUUUCAAUAUGAUAUUGAUGUAUUCUGCUUUUAGAAUUAUGUAUUUUUAUAAUUAGUUUGUGCGAC
rnacentral:lncRNA from 1 species